AGUGAACGCUGGCGGUAGGCCUAACACAUGCAAGUCGAACGGCAGCACAGUAAGAGCUUGCUCUUACGGGUGGCGAGUGGCGGACGGGUGAGGAAUACAUCGGAAUCUACUUUUUCGUGGGGGAUAACGUAGGGAAACUUACGCUAAUACCGCAUACGACCUACGGGUGAAAGCAGGGGAUCUUCGGACCUUGCGCGAUUGAAUGAGCCGAUGUCGGAUUAGCUAGUUGGCGGGGUAAGGGCCCACCAAGGCGACGAUCCGUAGCUGGUCUGAGAGGAUGAUCAGCCACACUGGAACUGAGACACGGUCCAGACUCCUACGGGAGGCAGCAGUGGGGAAUAUUGGACAAUGGGCGCAAGCCUGAUCCAGUCAUACCGCGUGGGUGAAGAAGGCCUUCGGGUUAUAAAGCCCUUUUGUUGGGAAAGAAAAGCAGCAGGUUAAUACCCCGCUGUUCUGACGGUACCCAAAGAAUAAGCACCGGCUAACUUCGUG
rnacentral:rRNA from 1 species